rnacentral:rRNA from 1 species
UACGUAGGGUGCAAGCGUUAAUCGGAAUUACUGGGCGUAAAGCGCACGUAGGCGGCUUUGCAAGUUAGAGGUGAAAGCCCGGGGCUCAACUCCGGAAUUGCCUUUAAAACUGCAUCGCUAGAGUUGUGGAGAGGUAAGUGGAAUUCCGAGUGUAGAGGUGAAAUUCGUAGAUAUUCGGAAGAACACCAGUGGCGAAGGCGACUUACUGGACACAUACUGACGCUGAGGUGCGAAAGCGUGGGGAGCAAACAGG